rnacentral:ncRNA from 1 species
UUCUGACGAAUACAUCCUGUAUUCGACACUGGCCACGACAGAGAUUGACAUG